rnacentral:rRNA from 1 species
GACGAACGCUGGCGGCGUGCUUAACACAUGCAAGUCGAACGGUAAAGGCGGAGCUUGCUCUGCUGGAUCAGUGGCGAACGGGUGAGUAACACGUGAGUAACCUGCCCCUGACUCUGGGAUAAGUGCUGGAAACGGCGUCUAAUACUGGAUACGAGCUGCGACGGCAUCUUCGGCAGCUGGAAAGUAUUUCGGUCGGGGAUGAGCUCGCGGCCUAUCAGCUUGUUGGUGGGGUAAUGGCUUACCAAGGCGUUGACGGGUAGCCGGCCUGAGAGGGUGACCGGCCACACUGGGACUGAGACACGGCCCAGACUCCUACGGGAGGCAGCAGUGGGGAAUAUUGCACAAUGGGCGGAAGCCUGAUGCAGCAACGCCGCGUGAGGGAUGACGGCCUUCGGGUUGUAAACCGCUUUUGCCAGGGAAGAAGCGAGAGUGACGGUAAUUGCAGAAGAAGCACCGGCUAACUACGUG